rnacentral:rRNA from 1 species
CCUACGGGUGGCAGCAGUGAGGAAUAUUGGUCAAUGGCCGUAAGGCUGAACCAGCCAAGUAGCGUGAAGGAAGACUGCCCUAUGGGUUGUAAACCUCUUUUAUGCGGAGAUAAAGGUGUACACGUGUGGAUGUUUGCAGGUACGGCAUGAAUAAGGACAGGAUAAUUCCGUGCCAGCAGCCGCGGUAAUACGGAAGGUCCGGGCGUUAUCCGGAUUUAUUGGGUUUAAAGGGAGCGUAGGCCGGUCUUUAAGCGUGCCGUGAAAUUUUGUGGCUCAACCAUGAGAGUGCGGCUCGUACUGGAUACCUUGAGUGCGGUGAAGGCAGGCGGAAUUCGUGGUGUAGCGGUGAAAUGCUUAGAUAUCACGAAGAACCCCGAUUGCGAAGGCAGCCCGCCGCAGCGUGACUGACGCUGAAGCUCGAAAGCGCGGGUAUCGAACAGGAUUAGAUACCCCUGUAGUC